UGGGGAAUCUUGCGCAAUGGGCGAAAGCCUGACGCAGCCAUGCCGCGUGAAUGAUGAAGGUCUUAGGAUUGUAAAGUUCUUUCGCUCGUGACGAUGAUGACGGUAACGAGAGAAGAAGCCCCGGCUAACUUCGUGCCAGCAGCCGCGGUAAUACGAAGGGGGCUAGCGUUGUUCGGAAUUACUGGGCGUAAAGCGCGCGUAGGCGGCUUUGCAAGCCAGAGGUGAAAUGCCUGAGCUCAACUUAGGAAUUGCCUUUGGGACUGCGAGGCUUCGAGGACUGGAGAGGUGAGUGGAAUUCCCAGUGUAGAGGUGAAAUUCGUAGAUAUUGGGAAGAACACCAGUGGCGAAGGCGGCUCACUGGCCAGUUUCUGACGCUAAAGUGCGAAAGCGUGGGGAUCAAACAGGAUUAGAUACCCAGGUAGUCCCUGAGCGGGCUGGCAAGGCGCAU
rnacentral:rRNA from 1 species